rnacentral:rRNA from 1 species
UGAAGUGGCGGCGUGCUAUACAUGCAGUCGAACGCUUUGUGGUUCAACUGAUUUGAAGAGCUUGCUCAGAUAUGACGAUGGACAUUGCAAAGAGUGGCGAACGGGUGAGUAACACGUGGGAAACCUACCUCUUAGCAGGGGAUAACAUUUGGAAACAGAUGCUAAUACCGUAUAACAAUAGCAACCGCAUGGUUGCUACUUAAAAGAUGGUUCUGCUAUCACUAAGAGAUGGUCCCGCGGUGCAUUAGUUAGUUGGUGAGGUAAUGGCUCACCAAGACGAUGAUGCAUAGCCGAGUUGAGAGACUGAUCGGCCACAAUGGGACUGAGACACGGCCCAUACUCCUACGGGAGGCAGCAGUAGGGAAUCUUCCACAAUGGGCGAAAGCCUGAUGGAGCAACGCCGCGUGUGUGAUGAAGGGUUUCGGCUCGUAAAACACUGUUGUAAGAGAAGAAUGACAUUGAGAGUAACUGUUCAAUGUGUGACGGUAUCUUACCAGAAAGGAACGGCUAAAUACGUGCCAGCAGCCGCGGUAAUACGUAUGUUCCAAGCGUUAUCCGGAUUUAUUGGGCGUAAAGCGAGCGCAGACGGUUAUUUAAGUCUGAAGUGAAAGCCCUCAGCUCAACUGAGGAAUUGCUUUGGAAACUGGAUGACUUGAGUGCAGUAGAGGAAAGUGGAACUCCAUGUGUAGCGGUGAAAUGCGUAGAUAUAUGGAAGAACACCAGUGGCGAAGGCGGCUUUCUGGACUGUAACUGACGUUGAGGCUCGAAAGUGUGGGUAGCAAACAGGAUUAGAUACCCUGGUAGUCCACACCGUAAACGAUGAGUGCUAGGUGUUUGAGGGUUUCCGCCCUUAAGUGCCGCAGCUAACGCAUUAAGCACUCCGCCUGGGGAGUACGACCGCAAGGUUGAAACUCAAGGAUUGACGGGGACCCGCACAGCGGUGGAGCAUGUGGUUUAUCGAGCACGCGAGACUUACAGUCUGACAUCCCUGACACUCAGAGAUGAGCGUCCCUCGGACAGUGACAGUGUGCAUGUGUCGUCAGCUCGUGUCGUGAGAUGUGGGUAGUCCCGCACGAGCGCACCCUUAUUACUAGUGCAGC